GCAUGGGUUUGAAUUUAUGGCAGGCCAGUCCCUGUGGGGCCCUCAUAGUGUCCCAUGCCAGAGAAAAUGUAACCUCAAAUCAUUGUCUAACUUCCUUGCCUCAGGCACUGCAGCAAGUUAGUUGUACAGUG